CACCCGACUCCAUUCCGAACUCGGCCGUGAAACCCUUUAGCGCUGAUGGUACUGCGUCUUAAGGCGUGGGAGAGUAGGUCGCUGCCAG
rnacentral:rRNA from 1 species